UGGCGUUUUUCAGUUGGGUGGUUGCUCUAGGGAAAGUUUUGACCACGGAUAACCUUAGAAAACGUGGUAUGUGUAUUGCUGAUUGGUGUGUCAUGUGCAAGGACGGUGAAUCUGUAAGUCAUCUCUUUCUUCAUUGUGAGGUGGCAAAGUCUUUAUGGAAUGAGGUUUUGAGGGAAGGAAAUGUGUAGCUGCCAGAUGGAAUAUGAUUCCUUUGUGUUUAAUGUGGUGUCUUUGGCUGGAAAGGA